GAAGUGCGAUAAGCAAUGCGAAUUGCAGAACCGUGAGUCAUCAGAUUUUUGAACGCAACUGGCGCUGGCUGGGUCUCCAGCCAGCAUGCUUGUUUCAGUGUCUUGUUUUCUCCUCACCCAAAACUUAAUGCGAGAGAUACCCUUCUCUUGCCAAGCAUGAAAGCACUCUUCUUCUGCGAGCGGCUCUUGAACUUGUUCCUGGGUCGCACUCGAUGCAGACGUCACAUUUUACAAUGUGAACUCAUUGAGAGCAGAAGCAGUCAGCUAACGCUGUCAGUGCUUAGGCAAGCAA
rnacentral:misc_RNA from 1 species